rnacentral:rRNA from 2 species
UGUGAGUUUGAUCCUGGCUCAGAUUGAACGCUGGCGGCAGGCCUAACACAUGCAAGUCGAGCGGUAACAUUUCUAGCUUGCUAGAAGAUGACGAGCGGCGGACGGGUGAGUAAUGCUUGGGAACGUGCCGUAAGGUGGGGGACAACCAUUGGAAACGAUGGCUAAUACCGCAUAAUGUCUACGGACCAAAGGGGGCUUCGGCUCUCGCCUUAUGAUCGGCCCAAGUGGGAUUAGCUAGUUGGUAAGGUAAUGGCUUACCAAGGCGACGAUCCCUAGCUGGUUUGAGAGGAUGAUCAGCCACACUGGAACUGAGACACGGUCCAGACUCCUACGGGAGGCAGCAGUGGGGAAUAUUGCACAAUGGGCGCAAGCCUGAUGCAGCCAUGCCGCGUGUGUGAAGAAGGCCUUAGGGUUGUAAAGCACUUUCAGUAAGGAGGAAAGGUUAGUAGUUAAUACCUGCUAGCUGUGACGU